rnacentral:rRNA from 1 species
AAUAGGCUUGCUAGCUGAUUGUAUAUAUAUGCUGGCGGUAUUGCAUAGCAAGCUCGCUUUUAAUAGGCAACCAGUAAUAUGAGCAAUUCUUUACCUACAAGCCUAUAAUUAUAUUAACUCUAAGAGAAAUCUAAUAAUAAACGGAGUGAAUUGAAAUAUCUUAUUAACUUCAGGAAAAGAAAUCAAAAGAGAUUCUAUGAUUAGCGUGAGCUAAAAUAGAGUAGCCUAGAAAGUCAAAUGGUGGAUAAACUGUUUAAAUUUAAUGGGGAACCUUCCUCAAAGGCUAAAUAUAAUAUGUAAGCGAUAGUGGAAAGUACCGUGAGGGAACCAAAACAAAAACAGUAAUUUUAUAAGCAGUUCGGAAAAAUAAAAAAGUUAGAACGUACCUUUUGCAUAAUGGGUCACCAAGUUAACAUUAGAUGCGAGAUUCUACGUAGUUAAACCGAGCGUUAAAAUAACGGUAAGUGUCUAAAGUUAGACCCGAAGCCUGGUGAUUUUACCAUAAUCAGGAUUAUAAAAGUCCGAACGGAAUAUUGUAGCAUAAAUAUCCGAAGAAUUAUGGUAGGUGUAGUGAAAGACAAUACUGACCAGGAUAGCUGGUUUUCUGCGAAACCUAUAACAGUAGGCAAUUUAAGUAUAAUAUCUUAGCAGGUACAGAAUUUAAUCUCAGACAAGACAUAAGGCUUAGCUUGUUAGCAAGUUAAGCCCAUGUUUUAUUUUGUACAAAUUGGGGGAUCAUGAAGAUUUUAUCAGUGAGUAUGUAGACUCGGAAUGGCAAAGAUAUAUCUUAAAUCAUCAGACAUAGAAUGAUAAGGUUGUAUGUCAAAAGGGAAACAGCCCAGAACAAGAGUUAAGGUUCCUAAAUUAUUAGUUGAGUGAAAUUAAGAAGGUUUUUAUUAAAGUCGACAAGGAGAUAGGCUUAGAAGCAGCCAUAAUUUUAUGACCUCGUAACAGAGCGCUUGUUAAGUUUUAAAAGCAUCGAAAAUUUAUCGGAUCUAAACAAUAUACCGAAACCUUGUCCAUAUUAUUUUAUAAUUAAUAAAUUAAUUAUAAUUAAAUGGGGUAGCAGAACGUUGAGCUAAAUUAAGAUUUUUAUUUUUUAAAUGAAAUUAUAAUAAUUUAACUCAAGUGAUAAUGGUGACAUGAGUAACUAAAAGAAAAUUUUCCGCCUAAAGCUUAUGGAUGUAAUUAAGUAACGGCCUCUAAGUUUAUGGAAUCAAAAGAUUAAAACGAUGAGACAAUCUUUCAUACUAAGGACGACAUUUUAAGUGAAAAAUGUACUGGAAAAAUAGUAAUAAGUUUAAGCUAUAGCUAUAACUAGCUAUAGCUGUAAAUGGAAAGUAACCGUACCUAGAAUCUGAAACAAGUAAGCUAGUAGAGAAUACGAAGGCGUAAAUGAGCUAACAAUCAUAAAGGAACUCGGCAAAUUGACUACCGUAACUUCGGGAUAAGGAGAGCUCAUUAUUCUUGAUUAAUAUCAGGUAAAGAGGAAGAAGCAUGAAAUAGUGUUGUACGACUGUUUAAUUAAAACACAGCACUUUGCUGAAAGAUUAAAAAUCUAAGUAUAGAGUGUGAUGUCUGCCCGGUGCCGGCUGGUUAACAGAUAUAAUUAAAUAUACUAAUAUUUGAUGUAGACGGAAACCCCGGUUAAAGGCGGCCUUAACGUGAGGGUCCUAAGGUAGCGAAAUGCCUUGGCCGUUAAAUGCGGUCUUGCAUGAAUGAUGUAACGAUACAACAGCUGUCUCUAUGAUUGACUCAGUGAAAUUGGAAUAGCUGUGCAGAUACAGUUUACCUCUAGUUAGACGAGAAGACCCUAUGCAGCUUUACUGUCACUAAUUAUAGAGUAUGAUAAACAAUUUUCAGUUUAUAAGGUAAUUGACGGCCGGCUUGCUUAGCAAGCUGGCUCUAUGACAAUGAGAAUCCUUUAUUUUUUUUUCAUAUGAAUGAAUUGGUUUAGGACGAGCUUAAGCUCGUAGUAAAUCAACCUAAUUCAGCUUAUUUUCCUUUCUGCUGUAAGCGCAUAAUGAUAGAUUAUACUUAAAUUUGGAUUUAUGCCUGCAGAAAUAGAUAAGUACCCUUGGUUAAGGAACUAUCGCUAGGGGACAGUUUAUGUGGGGCACAGACCCUGUAAAGAGUAAACAGGAGUGUCUAAUAAUUUAUAAUUAUUUUGUUUGCGAUUUAAGGUAGUAGAACUAUUUUUAAUCAUAUAAAAUUAUUUAUAUGUACAUUCGUUGUAUAUAUAUUUAAAAAAAGGUAGGAUUUUCACUAUAUAGAAAUUAGAGAUAAUAAAAAUAUUAAGUAGUAGCUGCGCCUAUGUAUUUCAUAGCAAGCUCGCACUAAUAUUUUUUAACUAUUAAGACUGGCUAUCUAGCUAUGCUCUAAUAGUUAUGUUUUAAUUAUCUAAAAAGCUCAACGGCUAAAUCUUGCCUUACUGUUUGAUUAUCAACAAAUCUUACAGUUGCGUAAGCAGGGCAUAGGAUCACAAGAUGCAACAAGGAAAGAUCUUGGAUUAUUGGAAAAGCUACGCUAGGGAUGUUUGUCCUUUAAUAUUUUAUUUCAGUGGUAUGGGUCGGCGCUUUUUUUUUA